AAAACUCUUCUCAUGUGUUCUUAUUCAUCUAAAGUCGUAGUAAUGUGCUAUUUUCAUCAUCUCAAGAUGUGUAAUGUGUUUUUGUUCAUCAAGCAUUUCCUAACUAUUUGUGGUUCGGCCUUGUGAAUCUUUCUUAUCUACUUUUCCACUGAAAAAAAAGUGAGAGAACCUCUGCAGGACCAUCUCAAGGUUUUCCUCCUCCUUUUAUCUUCUUAAUAAAAACCCAGGACUUAUCUUUACCAUGACUUCUCAAUUCUUUGAUUAUAUAGCAAAUAUCAUAGGGUCAAAUUGAUGUUUACCUCGUCUCAUUUCAUGUAUGUUUGAUAUCAAUAAAUUCUCAUUCUUCUCAUAUUUUGGCACCAAAGUAUGGCAUUGUGUUAAAAAUGAGGCCACAUUCAAUGUAUCAUUUGUUCCCUGAUUCAUCUUUCUUUUUUCUUUUCCCUUUUCUUUCCCUGGUUUUAUGGCUAGAGCUUUUAGGGCCACAGCUGGGCCCUCGAGACUUUCUUUCCUAACAUUAAGGAUCAAGUAGGGAAAUUGUGGGGUUACCCCCUUUGGAGUAAUCCUCCAAAGAGCAAUCAUUAAAUAAGAGAACAGAGUUAUGAAAACAAGAAGAAAACCAUUUAGAUCAGUGUCUAGAAUUGAAGGCUCGUCAUCAUCGAUAUCAAUGACAGGAAAUUGGCUCAGCUCUUGUGAGCUGUAAGCUAGAAGUCAGCUGACUAUAAAUCCAACCAGUACCUUAAAAUAUAAUUGUGAUUCCUAUCUAACCCAGGCAGUCUGCUUUACAAGUUCUGCAAUAUUAAAUAAUAAAAAAUUAACAAGGUUCAACUAAUAAAUUCUCAAUACCCAUCCACGGACAUGCAUAUUUCAUAAAAGGGCAUUAAGGUCCUCCGAGCACAAGAACUGAAUAUAAAAGUGGGUAGCAAAAAGUAUGAACUCCUUUGUAGUCUCUAGAAACAACUGCCCACCAUCUUGACCAAUAGACUUGCAAUCUCUGAAGAAUUUUUUGUCUUCAUUUUCAUUUAGGAGGUGUUUGAGUAUAAACUUUCAACCCUUUGCCCUCACUAUGAAUCUGGAGUUUUGGUGUAGUGGCAGGGGAAUUGUUUCUCUUGACAUGUUAUCAUAGCAAUCUAGGUUCAAUUUCCAUUGGCCAUUAAUUUAAAGUGUAUACAGAAGUAGACAUUGCUGUGUGAGUCUGGUUUUCUACUUAUAUAAAGGGUGCUUGUCCUGUGGGGACCUCAGCUUAACUUCGGAGUUUUGGUGUCGUAGCAAGGACUUUUGCCCGGAGGGAUCCAAUAAAUAGUAAUUAAUAUUUAGAUUUCUUUUUCGAUAGUUUACUGCUAGGAGAUCACCUUUUAUCCUCUUGUAGUACAUAGAUAAUUCACUAUCAUCAAGAGUAGCAAGAAAGUUUUUUUUAAAAAGUUGAUGAUAUCAGAAGAGCAAAAAAAUCGGAAAUAGAUCCUUGGCCCGCUGAACCCUGUUACAUAUGUUCCCUCGUUUCUCAGCGAUGGGCUGGGCAUAGCCUUCAAAAGAUUUUUUUUUGAAGUUGAAGAUGCCUGGGUAAAUUCCAGAAAGGUAGUGAAGUAAGAUUUAUGAAAACCUGGAGCAGGACACAGACACAGCACAUAUGUUUAGAGGCAGUUACAUCUGUUGUGUUAAGUCAUUUUUCCAGUGCUAGGAUUCAAGCAACAGUUACACCUAUUGUCCAUUUGGAUGCUAGGAACUGUUUUUCAGCCAGAAUCAACUUGUACGUGAACCAUCAAAAAAGUUUCCUACUAGCUAGGAACUGAUUUCUGAAGGGACUUUGGUUCACUACUGUCUGCAAAUCUGUGUAAAUGGAAUUACGACUGCUUAUGGUUGGUUGGAUCUAAAUGACUUUUGAACUGCAAUUCCUUAAACAGGUAAAAAAGAUAUCUCUGCUUAUUUUCUUAUGGGCAUUUUCAGACUUUAAUACAAAAUGUAGGAAGCUCAUCUAGAAAUUCCAAGAAUGAGAGAUGGAACUUUGCAGACCAUGUAAGCAGACCAUAUAUAUAUUGUGAAAUUAGAAGUCAAUUAUUUUCAGAGGGUAAAAGUUGAAUUCAAGUGUUGUAUCAGAAAAGUGGUAAAUUACUGUCUAUGUGGACUUAUUUCCUGAAUGGUAAACCAGCCAUAAGUGAUUUGUAUGAAGCGCAUAGAUCACAAUUAAAUGGAAUACUAGUCACAGUGACCAAAUGGCCUAAGAGGAAAACUUUUCCUAAUAAAGCUUUUCUGGAGAAAACUUUCAAAUAAAUUGGCGGGCGAAUUGCUUCAGAUGCAUCUCUUAAGAAACGCCAGGUUGGUUUUGAAAUAAAUGUCAUCAUUCCUGAGAUAGUACGAUUAUUUAUUUUAUUUAAUUUUUCAAGCAAUAAUAUGGAACUUCUGAAUACCUGUAAACUUUUCGGAGAAGAAAAGAGGAACGCGUAUAUCUGCCUAUUUGAUUUGAAAAGUUGGGCAACAUAGUUUUUUUGUUAGAAGACACAACUGGAAUUGACUUCGUAAUAAUUUCU